rnacentral:rRNA from 1 species
AUUGAACGCUGGCGGCAUGCCUUACACAUGCAAGUCGAACGGCAGCACGGGAGCUUGCUCCUGGUGGCGAGUGGCGAACGGGUGAGUAAUGCAUCGGAACGUGCCCUGAAGUGGGGGAUAACGUAGCGAAAGUUACGCUAAUACCGCAUAUUCUGUGAGCAGGAAAGCAGGGGAUCUUCGGACCUUGCGCUUUUGGAGCGGUCGAUGUCGGAUUAGCUAGUUGGUGGGGUAAAGGCCCACCAAGGCGACGAUCCGUAGCGGGUCUGAGAGGAUGAUCCGCCACACUGGAACUGAGACACGGUCCAGACUCCUACGGGAGGCAGCAGUGGGGAAUUUGGACAAUGGGCGCAAGCCUGAUCCAGCCAUGCCGCGUGAGUGAA